UAUGUGAUCGUCUCUCGCAUAUCAAUAAGCGGAGGAAAAGCGCAUUGAAGAUCCAGAUACCUACGCUUAGGAUGUUGAAGAUGUAGCACAUCAUACACGCAUGACACACUGCAUAUCAAUAAGCGGAGGAAAAGAAACUAACAAGGAUUCCCCUAGUAACGGCGAGUGAAGCGGGAAGAGCUCAAAUUUGAAAUCUUAAAGGGUUUCCCUUUACGAAUUGUAGUUUAAAGAAGUGUUUUCUGUUGAGGUUUUGGUAAAAGUUCUUUGGAAUAGGACAUCAUAGAGGGUGAGAAUCCCGUAUUUGACCUUUACUUUCAACUUUGUGAUACACUUUCAAAGAGUCGGAUUGUUUGGGAAUGCAGUCCAAAAUGGGUGGUAAAUUUCAUCUAAAGCUAAAUAUUGGCGAGAGACCGAUAGCGAACAAGUACCGUGAGGGAAAGAUGAAAAGAACUUUGAAAAGAGAGUUAAACAGUACGUGAAAUUGUCAAAAGGGAAGCGUUUGACACCAGUGUUGUUUUUCUGAAAAUCAAUUAAAGAACUGUUUAUGCUAAGUUGUUUAGACUUUAUCAGCUAACUGUUUAGUUUUGAGCUUUUCUUUAAUGCACUUUUCAGUUAACAAGUCAACAUCAAUUUCUUUUGCUGUAAAAAAGCUUGAGGAAGGUGGCUUGAGAUUCGUCUUAAGUGUUUAUAGCCUCUUGCCUAUGCAGUCGGAGAGAUUGAGGUCUGCAGCGUAGAUCCUUCGGGGCUAAAUGCAUUUGUGCUAAGUUAUAGCAUUUUAUAGACAACUUGUUGACUAUGAUUUGUCUUGUAGCUUACUCGCUUAUGUUAUUUUACCUACGCUUAGGAUGUUGAAGAUGUAGCACAUCAU
rnacentral:rRNA from 1 species